AAUUGGAGGGCAAGUCUGGUGCCAGCAGCCGCGGUAAUUCCAGCUCCAAUAGCGUAUAUUAAAGUUGUUGCAGUUAAAAAGCUCGUAGUUGAAUUUCGGGGUUAGUAGGUUGGUCAUGCCUCUGGUAUGUACUGAUCUCACUGAUUCCUCCUUCCUUACGAACCGUAAUGCCAUUAAUUUGGUGUUGCGGGGAAUUUGGACUGUUACUUUGAAAAAAUUAGAGUGUUUAAAGCAGGCUAACGCUUGAAUACAUUAGCAUGGAAUAAUGAAAUAGGACGUUCGAUCUUAUUUUGUUGGUUUCUAGGAUUGACGUAAUGAUUAAUAGGGAUAGUUGGGGGCAUUAGUAUUCAAUUGUCAGAGGUGAAAUUCUUGGAUUUAUUGAAGACUAACUACUGCGAAAGCAUUUGCCAAGGAUGUUUUCAUUAAUCAAGAACGAAAGUUAGGGGAUCGAAGACGAUCAGAUACCGUCGUAGUCUUAACCAUAAACUAUGCCGACUAGGGAUCGGAUGAUGUUAAUUUUUUAAUGACUCAUUCGGCGCCUUACGGGAAACCAAAGUGU
rnacentral:rRNA from 1 species